CGCGCAGGCGGUCCUUUAAGUCUGAUGUGAAAGCCCACGGCUCAACCGUGGAGGGUCAUUGGAAACUGGGGGACUUGAGUGAAGAAGAGGAGAGUGGAAUUCCACGUGUAGCGGUGAAAUGCGUAGAGAUGUGGAGGAACACCAGUGGCGAAGGCGACUCUCUGGUCUGUAACUGACGCUGAGGCGCGAAAGCGUGGGGAGCAAACA
rnacentral:rRNA from 1 species